GUGUGUGCGUGACGCGUAAUCGGUGACCACGUAGCGGUGACAAGGCGGUGCUAGUCAGCGGCAGUUUUAGGGGAAACGGUUUAUUUUCAUAAAUAUCAGUCAACAUAAGCAGAUGCACACCGACGCGCCACAUCAGUUGCUACGAAUCCGUUCAAACGAGUUGUCGGCGUUUCUCGCAGGUGAGCGGUCUCCCAUGCGCACGCUUUUGGUGGAUUACGCGACGCGUUUCGACGACUUUGAUGACUUCUCAUAACUAAAUUUGGCAUCGACGUUAGUGCAAAGGCUAAGUUGGCCAAGUAAUUGUUGCAAAAAAAAAAACCAAAAAUAAUAUUUAGCUCACGGUCAAGUGGCGAAUGAUUGUGUUGAAUCGCAUUCAACGGAUUUAAGUUAGUUUUGACAUUUGCCAAAAGUGUUUGAUUGUGAUUGUGUGCACAUGGUGUACUGUGGAUAUACAAAUAUAUUCAAUACAUAAAUAAUUGUAAUAAAAUAGAAUAAAUAUUUGCUGAAAGUCUUAACAAAACUCAAAACCUUCGCAUCAAAAAUUAAUUUAUUUUCUUCCAAAAAUUUCGUCAUAAAUUUUAAUUGCUCUUAUCUAAUCAUAUCAGUGCGUUUGGGCUAACAUUUGUCAGAAAGUGUGUCAAUAAAUAUGUACGUACAUAUUUAGAAAUGCUGACAGAUAUACCUACAUGCAAACGUAUUAAAUGCAACACAGCUAAAAGUGAAUCGCGCAGUUAUCAGUAGCGGCCAAAAUUUGUCUGUGUAUUAGUGAAAGAGUGCUCCGGGGCGUAUGAGUGUAGAAAUUCUUGCUUAUUUGAAAAUCAAACAUAUACUUAUAUGUACAUGGUGUUUUUACUAUAGCAUUCAUAAGUAUAUCCAUAAGUAUUUUGAGAAAAAAAUCGCAUAGAAAUUUAACAAAUAAAUUGAAAAUAUUGUGAACCCAAUAAAUAUGUCAACUGCAGCCUAGACCAAAAAUUCCCUAUCUUCAGCCAUUAAUACAUUAUACACAAAACGAAGACUCCAAUGAUGAAAAUCUGAACAUUGAAAAUUUUGGUGAUGCACUUUAUAGGCACUGUUCCAACAAUAACAACACCCACAUCCAUCAUUUAAGCAUCUAGUACUUGCGGCAGCAAGACCACUGUCAUUCAUUUCGGUGAUAGUCACUGCGGAAGCGGUGACACAAACUACAACAGCAUCAACAAUAUCCAUAAUAACAACAACAAAAAAACUACAACUCUAACAAUAGUAACGCUGCCAAUACAAAAUUCCAACAGAUAAAACAACAAAAAAAAACGUCACAGAUUACAUCAACAGCAGCCGUAUCAACAACAGCAGCAAUUGCGGUAAUACGAGUUUUUACCAAGCUACAGGCAACACAAGCCAAUAACAAGAACAAUAACAACAGCGCUAACAAAGCCAGUUAUAUUAGGUUUUGCAGUAACAGUAACAGCAGAAAAAUGCGCCGCAAUGUAAAAUUCAUUGUUUUUGUUAGCAUCAUUUGGAUAUUCGUCAUGGUCUACUACUUCCAGUCCAGCACGGAAAAGGU